CCUACGGGUGGCAGCAGUGAGGAAUAUUGGUCAAUGGGCGAGAGCCUGAACCAGCCAAGUCGCGUGAAGGAUGACGGCCCUCCGGGUUGUAAACUUCUUUUGUCAGGGAGCAAUUGGGUCCACGCGUGGGCUUAGCGAGAGUACCUGCAGACAAAGCAUCUGCUAACUCCGUGCCAGCAGCCGCGGUAAUACAGAGGCGGCGAGCGUUAUCCGGAUUUAUUGGGUUUAAAGGGUGCGUAGGCGGAAUAUCAAGUCAGUGGGAAAAAUGCGGGGCACAACCCCGUCGUGCCGUUGAAACUGAUGUGCGUGAGUGGGCGAGAAGGAGGCGGAAGGCGUGGUGUAGCGGUGAAAUGCAUAGAUAUCACGCAGAACACCGAUUGCGAAGGCAGCAUACCGGCGCCCAACUGACGCUGAAGCACGAAAGCGUGGGUAUCGAACAGGAUUAGAUACCCCAGUAGUC
rnacentral:rRNA from 1 species